rnacentral:rRNA from 1 species
GACGAACGCUGGCGGCGUGCUUAACACAUGCAAGUCGAGCGGUAAGGCCCUUUCGGGGUACACGAGCGGCGAACGGGUGAGUAACACGUGGGUGACCUGCCCUCAGCUCUGGGAUAAGCCUGGGGAAACCGGGUCUAAUACUGGAUAUGACUCCAUGACGCAUGUUGUGGGGUGAAAGCCUUGUGCGGCUGAGGAUGGGCCCG